UGCGAAUGCUGACAUAAGUAACGAUAAAGCGGGUGAAAAGCCCGCUCGCCGGAAGACCAAGGGUUCCUGUCCAACGUUAAUCGGGGCAGGGUGAGUCGACCCCUAAGGCGAGGCCGAAAGGCGUAGUCGAUGGGAAACAGGUUAAUAUUCCUGUACUUGGUGUUACUGCGAAGGGGGGACGGAGAAGGCUAUGUUGGCCGGGCGACGGUUGUCCCGGUUUAAGCGUGUAGGCUGGUUUUCCAGGCAAAUCCGGAAAAUCAAGGCUGAGGCGUGAUGACGAGGCACUACGGUGCUGAAGCAACAAAUGCCCUGCUUCCAGGAAAAGCCUCUAAGCAUCAGGUAACAUCAAAUCGUACCCCAAACCGACACAGGUGGUCAGGUAGAGAAUACCAAGGCGCUUGAGAGAACUCGGGUGAAGGAACUAGGCAAAAUGGUGCCGUAACUUCGGGAGAAGGCACGCUGAUAUGUAGGUGAAGCGACUUGCUCGUGGAGCUGAAAUCAGUCGAAGAUACCAGCUGGCUGCAACUGUUUAUUAAAAACACAGCACUGUGCAAACACGAAAGUGGACGUAUACGGUGUGACGCCUGCCCGGUGCCGGAAGGUUAAUUGAUGGGGUUAGCGCAAGCGAAGCUCUUGAUCGAAGCCCCGGUAAACGGCGGCCGUAACUAUAACGGUCCUAAGGUAGCGAAAUUCCUUGUCGGGUAAGUUCCGACCUGCACGAAUGGCGUAAUGAUGGCCAGGCUGUCUCCACCCGAGACUCAGUGAAAUUGAACUCGCUGUGAAGAUGCAGUGUACCCGCGGCAAGACGGAAAGACCCCGUGAACCUUUACUAUAGCUUGACACUGAACAUUGAGCCUUGAUGUGUAGGAUAGGUGGGAGGCUUUGAAGUGUGGACGCCAGUCUGCAUGGAGCCGACCUUGAAAUACCACCCUUUAAUGUUUGAUGUUCUAACGUUGACCCGUGAUCCGGGUUGCGGACAGUGUCUGGUGGGUAGUUUGACUGGGGCGGUCUCCUCCUAAAGAGUAACGGAGGAGCACGAAGGUUGGCUAAUCCUGGUCGGACAUCAGGAGGUUAGUGCAAUGGCAUAAGCCAGCUUGACUGCGAGCGUGACGGCGCGAGCAGGUGCGAAAGCAGGUCAUAGUGAUCCGGUGGUUCUGAAUGGAAGGGCCAUCGCUCAACGGAUAAAAGGUACUCCGGGGAUAACAGGCUGAUACCGCCCAAGAGUUCAUAUCGACGGCGGUGUUUGGCACCUCGAUGUCGGCUCAUCACAUCCUGGGGCUGAAGUAGGUCCCAAGGGUAUGGCUGUUCGCCAUUUAAAGUGGUACGCGAGCUGGGUUUAGAACGUCGUGAGACAGUUCGGUCCCUAUCUGCCGUGGGCGCUGGAGAACUGAGGGGGGCUGCUCCUAGUACGAGAGGACCGGAGUGGACGCAUCACUGGUGUUCGGGUUGUCAUGCCAAUGGCACUGCCCGGUAGCUAAAUGCGGAAGAGAUAAGUGCUGAAAGCAUCUAAGCACGAAACUUGCCCCGAGAUGAGUUCUCCCUGACUCCUUGAGAGUCCUGAAGGAACGUUGAAGACGACGACGUUGAUAGGCCGGGUGUGUAAGCGCAGCGAUGCGUUGAGCUAACCGGUACUAAUGAACCGUGAGGCUUAACC
rnacentral:rRNA from 1 species